rnacentral:rRNA from 1 species
CUACGGGAGGCAGCAGUAGGGAAUAUUGGACAAUGGGCGCAAGCCUGAUCCAGCCAUGCCGCGUGAGUGAAGAAGGCCUUCGGGUUGUAAAGCUCUUUUGUCCGGAAAGAAAAGCUUCAGGUUAAUACCCUGGAGUCCUGACGGUACCGGAAGAAUAAGCACCGGCUAACUUCGUGCCAGCAGCCGCGGUAAUACGAAGGGUGCAAGCGUUACUCGGAAUUACUGGGCGUAAAGCGUGCGUAGGUGGUUUGUUAAGUCUGAUGUGAAAGCCCUGGGCUCAACCUGGGAAUGGCAUUGGAUACUGGCAGGCUAGAGUGCGGUAGAGGGUAGUGGAAUUCCCGGUGUAGCAGUGAAAUGCGUAGAGAUCGGGAGGAACAUCUGUGGCGAAGGCGACUACCUGGACCAGCACUGACACUGAGGCACGAAAGCGUGGGGAGCAAACAGGAUUAGAAACCCUUGUAGUCCC